AGUGAACGCUGGCGGUAGGCCUAACACAUGCAAGUCGAACGGCAGCACAGUAAGAGCUUGCUCUUACGGGUGGCGAGUGGCGGACGGGUGAGGAAUACAUCGGAAUCUACUUUUUCAUGGGGGAUAACGUAGGGAAACUUACGCUAAUACCGCAUACGACCUACGGGUGAAAGCAGGGGAUCUUCGGACCUUGCGCGAUUGAAUGAGCCGAUGUCGGAUUAGCUAGUUGGCGGGGUAAAGGCCCACCAAGGCGACGAUCCGUAGCUGGUCUGAGAGGAUGAUCAGCCACACUGGAACUGAGACACGGUCCAGACUCCUACGGGAGGCAGCAGUGGGGAAUAUUGGACAAUGGGCGCAAGCCUGAUCCAGCCAUACCGCGUGGGUGAAGAAGGCCUUCGGGUUGUAAAGCCCUUUUGUUGGGAAAGAAAAGCAGCAGGUUAAUACCCCGCUGUUCUGACGGGACCCAAAGAAUAAACACCGGCUAACUUCGU
rnacentral:rRNA from 1 species